rnacentral:rRNA from 1 species
CGGGGAGGAAGGCGGGGAUGACGUCAAGUCAGCAUGGCCUUUAUGUCCAGGGCUACACACGUGCUACAAUGGGCGAUACAGAGGGAAGCAAGGCCGCAAGGUAGAGCUAAUCCCUAAAGUCGUCCUCAGUUCGGAUUGCAGGCUGCAACUCGCCUGCAUGAAGUCGGAAUCGCUAGUAAUCGCGGAUCAGCUACGCCGCGGUGAAUACGUUCUCGGGCCUU